rnacentral:lncRNA from 1 species
ACCUUUUUGGUAAGUUGGUCGCGUAGGUCGCCCGUUGGACCUAAACGCUGGGAGAGUCUACGCCCUCUGCUGCGGACUGGACGUGUGGAGGCCGUUCUGGCCUUGCUGUGAGGUCGCUUUGGUGAAUGCGGAGGCGUGCUGGACCCUUUCUUGGCUCGUUUGCCAAUGGUAUCCUCUUGCCUUCCAAGGAUCCAAUUGUUGAGCCUUUUUUUCAUCGGCC